rnacentral:lncRNA from 1 species
UGCCAAAGUAAACCUAGUUUGUCCAGGAGACAGUGAUUCAUCAUUUACAAAUAGAAGAGGAUACUUUAAUAUCUUUCAAUUAGUGAAGACUGGAACAGAUAUUGGGAGUUGUCAAGUGAGUGUGGAUACAAGUAGAGCACCCCAGGGGUGUUCUUUCUUAACAGACAUAAAUGGUGGAUCAAGUGGCCAAUCUUUAAGCACAUGCACCAAUAAUGGAAAUAAGAAGUUCACUUGUGGACCCUAUUAUUUUACUCCAAAUGCUUGUUCACCUCCACCACCACCAAGUUCUCCACCUCCACCACCACCAAGUCCACCUCCUCCUCCUCCACCACCACCACGACUAAAAACUCCACCGCCACGACCUAGAAAACCACCACCACCACCCCCUAGAACACCACCCCUACCGCCGAACCCCCCCACACGAACUCCUCCACCACCACCCCCUAG